rnacentral:lncRNA from 1 species
UGUCACGCCCCGAUCCUCGGGCACGUGCACAUCCUUCUAUUUGGUCGAUUUUAUAAUGCGAUAUCCCAGGACAAUGUAUCGCCGACCCUUUCAAUUUUUUAAGCACAUGCGGAAGCAGUUAAAAUCCCCAGACAAUAAAACGAUGGGAUAGAAAAGCAGGGCCAUAUUUUUCAUAUUGAAAUUUAUAACCAAACUUUUAUACAAAACACAAACCACUUCAAAACUAUUCACAUCAAAAUGGAGAUCUCAAAAGAAGACAGAAACUUAGACGAAUUGGGCCGUACUCAAGGCCCUUCUCGGGAUUAUCAUCUUCUCCCAAAAAUCUUUCUCCUGAAGAUUCGCCUCCGAGUUCUCCUUCUCGGAUUCCUCCUUCUCAGCUCUUCAGCGGGGUCCUAAAAUGGUUUCCCCAAACUGGGAUGAGACUACGUCUCAGCGAGUUCUACCCCACUAAGCCCGAUUAGUAAACCAUUAUACUAUUGGCUGCCUAAACACGCACAGGACAGAAGACUUACCUUGGCCUCAGAUCUCACCUGCAAGUCAGUACAAUUCACAAUAGGCACUCAUUUACUCAAAACAAAUCGAACCAGUCGAUUACAUGUCACACAAAUCACUCUCCACGGAGGAGUAUCUAAAAGCGAGGCCACGUGCAUUCUCUCGGACGACAUUCCAAGUCUCCGAGUCCACGUGUCUUGAACCUUGGGCCCACGUGCAUUCUCUCAAGCGACCUCUUCGCCAAAGUGAUACAUCAAGUCACCGAGCCCACGUGCCCUUUUAGAUGCCUGGGCCCACGUGCAUUCUCUUAGGUGUUAUCUCACCAAAGUGAUGCAUCAAUUCACCGAGCCCACGUGCCCUUUUUACGAUGCCCAAGCCCACGUGCAUUCUCUUAGGUGCUAUCUCACCAAAGUGAUGCAUCAAUUCACCGAGCCCACGUGCCCUUUUAGAUGCCAAACUCUGUCACCGAGCCACGUGCAUUCUCCAGGAUGACAUACCGAGUCUCCGAGCCACGUGCAUUCUCUCAAGCGACCUUUUCGCCAAGGUGACGUAUUCAAUCACUGAACUCACGUGCAUUCUCCAGGUGACAUUCCAAUUCACCGAGCCCACGUGUCCUCUUUCAAGUGAUUACCAAUCUACUUUCAAUACCGACAACCAAUGCCCAACGAUUUCUCAAUCAAAUAAUUAAAUCAACUCAACAAAGCAUUAUAAAUGCUGAACAACAUACUUGGCCAUUUACCAAUCAACAAUUCAAUCUCAAUCAAUUCCAACCAAUUUAGGGUAAAUCCCUAAAAUAUCACAAUUUAUUCAAUUCCAUACAACGUAGAGCUCAAAUAAAUAAACGGACUGCGCCACGACGAUCAGCACGAGAUUUCGGUCGUCGGCCAUCAAAAUCUUAAUUUCCAAAAAAUAAAUAAAUAAUUAAUUAAUUUCGAAAAUUAAAUAAUUAAUAUUAAAAAUUCAAUUUAGCUCAAAAUAAAGCCCGAUUAAAUAAACGGACUUCACCACGUUCAUCAGCAUAAUAUUCCGGUCCCGGGCCAUCUCAGUUGAAUUUUCGGAAAAUAAAUAAUUAUUUAAUUUAAUUCCGAAAAUUAAUAUUUAAAUACUAAAAAUUCCACUUAGGCCCGAAAAGCCUAAUUGGAGCCCACUAAGGGUCGGGAAAAAUCCCGAGGCACUUCCAAUAAUUAGUAGACCACGUCUACUUGUUAAUUGCGCAAUCAAUUUAUCUAAAUCGCAUCACAAUUGACUAAUAAUUGCUAAUUUAUUCUAAUCUAACAACCUAAACAUAAUUAAUUAAAUCUAAACCAACCUUAAGCAUAAUUAGCCAACUAAUCAAAGAUUAGUGAGAUUACUCACCAAAUCGCGCGCAAAUCGGAUCAAUCCGACGAGGGCGACGCGAGGAACAAAACUUCCCAAAGCACGGCUCGGGUUCGGGGCCUGGAAACGGCCCAAAACAGCCCACGAACCGGCUGGAAACCCACUUGCGGGUUUGCUGGAUCAGCUGCAAAACAGAGAGAAAGAGAGAGGGUUGGGGCCUGCAAGAGGUCGGGAGAGCGGGUAGAGCUUCGGUGAGGCCGGACGGCGGCUUCGGCGGCCUGCUCAGCCACUCACGGUGGCUGAACAGAGGCCGAACGGAUGUUGGAUCGCACGGGGGAAGGGCAGCAGCGAGCGACGGACGAGCGAGG